rnacentral:rRNA from 1 species
GUCUGGGAAACUGCCUGAUGGAGGGGGAUAACUACUGGAAACGGUGGCUAAUACCGCAUAACGUCGCAAGACCAAAGAGGGGGACCUUCGGGCCUCUUGCCAUCAGAUGUGCCCAGAUGGGAUUAGCUUGUUGGUGAGGUAACGGCUCACCAAGGCGACGAUCCCUAGCUGGUCUGAGAGGAUGACCAGCCACACUGGAACUGAGACACGGUCCAGACUCCUACGGGAGGCAGCAGUGGGGAAUAUUGCACAAUGGGCGCAAGCCUGAUGCAGCCAUGCCGCGUGUAUGAAGAAGGCCUUCGGGUUGUAAAGUACUUUCAGCGGGGAGGAAGGUGUUGUGGUUAAUAACCGCAGCAAUUGACGUUACCCGCAGAAGAAGCACCGGCUAACUCCGUGCCAGCAGCCGCGGUAAUACGGAGGGUGCAAGCGUUAAUCGGAAUUACUGGGCGUAAAGCGCACGCAGGCGGUCUGUCAAGUCGGAUGUGAAAUCCCCGGGCUCAACCUGGGAACUGCAUUCGAAACUGGCAGGCUUGAGUCUUGUAGAGGGGGGUAGAAUUCCAGGUGUAGCGGUGAAAUGCGUAGAGAUCUGGAGGAAUACCGGUGGCGAAGGCGGCCCCCUGGACAAAGACUGACGCUCAGGUGCGAAAGCGUGGGGAGCAAACAGGAUUAGAUACCCUGGUAGUCCACGCCGUAAACGAUGUCUACUUGGAGGUUGUGCCCUUGAGGCGUGGCUUCCGGAGCUAACGCGUUAAGUAGACCGCCUGGGGAGUACGGCCGCAAGGUUAAAACUCAAAUGAAUUGACGGGGGCCCGCACAAGCGGUGGAGCAUGUGGUUUAAUUCGAUGCAACGCGAAGAACCUUACCUGGUCUUGACAUCCACAGAAGAAUCCAGAGAUGGAUUUGUGCCUUCGGGAACUGUGAGACAGGUGCUGCAUGGCUGUCGUCAGCUCGUGUUGUGAAAUGUUGGGUUAAGUCCCGCAACGAGCGCAACCCUUAUCCUUUGUUGCCAGCGGUUAGGCCGGGAACUCAAAGGAGACUGCCAGUGAUAAACUGGAGGAAGGUGGGGAUGACGUCAAGUCAUCAUGGCCCUUACGACCAGGGCUACACACGUGCUACAAUGGCGCAUACAAAGAGAAGCGACCUCGCGAGAGCAAGCGGACCUCAUAAAGUGCGUCGUAGUCCGGAUUGGAGUCUGCAACUCGACUCCAUGAAGUCGGAAUCGCUAGUAAUCGUGGAUCAGAAUGCCACGGUGAAUACGUUCCCGGGCCUUGUACACACCGCCCGUCACACCAUGGGAGUGGGUUGCAAAAGAAGUAGGUAGCUUAACCUUCGGGAGGGCGCUUACCACUUUGUGAUUCAUGACUGGGGUGAAGUCGUAACAAGGUAACCGUAGGGGAACCUGCGGUUGGAUCACCUCCUUACCUUAAAGAA